GGAUUCCAGCUUCUUGCGACGAAUAACGAACAUGGUCUGGACUCGAAUUCAUUUUGAAUCUGCCCAAUGAUACCGGUAAUAGUUUUCUGAGAAGAUGCUCGACGCUUGAUGCUGCCAUCUUCAGAUCAUCUGCUACUGUGGUCAUGUGACUUCAAAUGGCAACCAAUAGCAACUCACAGAAGAGAGAAAGCUGCAGCAAGUGGUUUUCAUUAUUACAACUACAACAUUUCAACAAAGUAUUAAUCGAAAGAGUGACUAGGCGAUGGAAACUUAUAGCCCCAUCUUGAUACUGAUUAUUUACAAAAAAAGAGACGGAGAGAAAGAACAAAAACGGCAUGUGCUGUACAAUUUCACUGUACAAUCAGGUGCGUUAAUGAUAUUGAAUAUAUCCGCAUUUACAACAUCAUACACUUUAUGACACGCGACUUAAAUGUAUUAAUGAAGAAAUUUAAUAUUAAAAUUGUUUUUUUAUGUUAAUACUAAUAUUUUAUCAAUUUUAUAUCCAUAUAAAUCUUACAUUU